GCACUGCCGAAGAUAUUAUUCAGGUUCGCAAUAAGUAAUGAUGAAAGGCCAGAUGAAAUAUCUACUGCAGUCAAAAGCAAUACCAGACAAAUCAUAGCACAAAAGGAGAAAAGAAAUUCUUCAUUCAACUAUAACCCGGAAGAACACAAGUUAUUUAUCAUGGAGAAAGAAGACAGCAAUUGACAUGAAUAAGAAAAGUUUUGAGCAGCAAUCAUAUCGGAUGUGAGUAAUGAAGGUACAGAAACUUCACAGCUUGAUUGCUCAGCGGCAAGUUUUCCUUUCCAACAAGGAGAAUCCAGAUCAGAAUCAUUCUCGUUGAUUAUUUUAGAAGAAUUUUCAAUAGGAUCACUUUCUUUAAUACCAAGGGAUUCCAGGGUCAAAUCAAUAAGAAGACUGGGACAAGUGAUUUGCAGCUCAGACUUUGCCAUUGGCACGGGCUCCAUAACCUCAUGGGUGACAGGUUUGCCCAAUUUUCCUUCUUUGCCUUUAUCUGCCAGGACUUUAUGAUGGAAAACUUCCUUGCUUUUAUCCACUUCCAGAGUCAAAUCAAUAGGAGGACUGGGACAAGUGAUUUGCAGCUCAGACUUUGCCAUUGGCAUGGGCUCCAUAACCUCGUGAGUGACAGGUUUGCCCAUUUUUCCUUCUUUGCCUUUAUCUGUCAGGACUUUAUUAUGGAAAACUUCCUUGCUUUUAUCCACAACAGCAUGAGGCUUCUUUAAACUUGCUUGACCAUACCCAAGAAAGUUAUUUUUGCUGACUCCACCAUCUCCAUCAGAAUCUAGGUUCUCUGACAACACAUGAUUAAAGGGUAAAUAGCCUGUACUAGCUACUGAUGGCUCGGAAACUAAAACUGGCAAAGAAUUGAUAUCUGAUGAAGGGGGAACAUUCUGUUUGGCUGCAUGAAAAUCAAGUUGCUGUGAUAAGCUUCUCCCAAAAUAAGCAAUGUUUGUAUCACAGGAGCUCCAAGAUACUGAUGGUGGUAGGUAAUUUAUCCCGCUUUGAGGAUCUUGAAGUAUGGCAGAAGAGUUCAAAUCUGAUGUCCUUGAGAACUUCAAAGAGAUUGGCACACAUUGAGAGUCAAUUUCCCUAGUUCUUUUAGGUCUGACUUCAUGAUCCUUUAAUGAGAUCCCAGAGAGUUUUCCGCACAAACUAUCAGAUGUUUCGGGACUCAGCUUCAAUCCUUCAGCAGGAGAUCCUGCUGGGAAGAUGAAUAGCAUGUGAACUAAAGCUACCACAAAGAUAGUAAUUUCAUUCAUUAAUAUGCAUUCGACAUUUUAUAAAAUGUCCAAAAACCUAGUAAAAUUGAAAAGAUUAAAUGAAACUACAUUAGCCAGAAAAGAAGAAAUAAACACAUACCCACUAGCAAUUGAAAAGACUAUCAAAUUACUUCAUCCAAUGGGGGAAAAAAAACCAUUGAUAGAAAAUCUACUUUAAGAAGAAAGGUUAUACCAGGAAAAUGAGCAAUAAAGAAUAGAGAAUCAACAAAUAAAUCAACCCCUCAAUCCCAUGCAUGGGAUGCAUUAUAUUGCACAGAAUGGAUAAUGUUUAACAAGACACGUGGAUCUCAUUUCACAGUGAAAAGGUUUUAAUUUCCUCUGAAAAUGAACGCUGCUUUGUUUCUCAAGAAGGAUGGGUUGUGCCAUGCAAAUAUGAAAAGUUAGCAUGUCAGAUACUAGCAGUCAACAACAAGCAUUCCAUGAUCAUCCAAAGCACCCGCCUCUGCUUUUGGUUUUAACUGAUGAUGAAGUGCAUUUUACAUCUCAUCAGAAAAAACACCACGCAGGUUCUAUUCUCUUCAAUAUACAAGUUCAGCAGGCUAGCGAUGCCCAAAUGCCAAACUUUGCUAAGCUACUACUGCUAUCCCAUUGAUGUUGAAACCCCAUCAGCAACAUUUUGAUAGCCAAUUUCAUUGCCAGAAUUUCUCAAGAGAAAAAGACACAAGGAAACACUUAUGUUCAUCACAUACAGUUCUACACAGACUAUCUUGUCAUUUAAAUGAACAAUCAAUCAAUUAGUACUUUUGGCAUUGUUGAAGCCAUUUUAGGAGCUAUCAACAAUUUAUACGGUUUUCCUAAUCAAGGAAGUUAUUCAAGCUGAAUUCAUGGCCUAAUAUUAAACAUCAAGAGCAUUAAAUUUA